rnacentral:rRNA from 1 species
UGCAGUCGGGCGGUAGCACAGAGAGCUUGCUCUCGGGUGACGAGCGGCGGACGGGUGAGUAAUGUCUGGGAAACUGCCUGAUGGAGGGGGAUAACUACUGGAAACGGUAGCUAAUACCGCAUAACGUCGCAAGACCAAAGAGGGGGACCUUCGGGCCUCUUGCCAUCAGAUGUGCCCAGAUGGGAUUAGCUAGUAGGUGGGGUAACGGCUCACCUAGGCGACGAUCCCUAGCUGGUCUGAGAGGAUGACCAGCCACACUGGAACUGAGACACGGUCCAGACUCCUACGGGAGGCGGCAGUGGGGAAUAUUGCACAAUGGGCGCAAGCCUGAUGCAGCCAUGCCGCGUGUAUGAAGAAGGCCUUCGGGUUGUAAAGUACUUUCAGCGGGGAGGAAGGUGUUGUGGUUAAUAACCACAGCAAUUGACGUUACCCGCAGAAAAAGCACCGGCUAACUCCGUGCCAGCAGCCGCGGUAAUACGGAGGGUGCAAGCGUUAAUCGGAAUUACUGGGCGUAAAGCGCACGCAGGCGGUCUGUCAAGUCGGAUGUGAAAUCCCCGGGCUCAACCUGGGAACUGCAUUCGAAACUGGCAGGCUAGAGUCUUGUAGAGGGGGGUAGAAUUCCAGGUGUAGCGGUGAAAUGCGUAGAGAUCUGGAGGAAUACCGGUGGCGAAGGCGGCCCCCUGGACAAAGACUGACGCUCAGGUGCGAAAGCGUGGGGAGCAAACAGGAUUAGAUACCCUGGUAGUCCACGCCGUAAACGAUGUCGACUUGGAGGUUGUGCCCUUGAGGCGUGGCUUCCGGAGCUAACGCGUUAAGUCGACCGCCUGGGGAGUACGGCCGCAAGGUUAAAACUCAAAUGAAUUGACGGGGGCCCGCACAAGCGGUGGAGCAUGUGGUUUAAUUCGAUGCAACGCGAAGAACCUUACCUACUCUUGACAUCCAGAGAACUUAGCAGAGAUGGUUUGGUGCCUUCGGGAACUCUGAGACAGGUGCUGCAUGGCUGUCGUCAGCUCGUGUUGUGAAAUGUUGGGUUAAGUCCCGCAACGAGCGCAACCCUUAUCCUUUGUUGCCAGCGGUCCGGCCGGGAACUCAAAGGAGACUGCCAGUGAUAAACUGGAGGAAGGUGGGGAUGACGUCAAGUCAUCAUGGCCCUUACGAGUAGGGCUACACACGUGCUACAAUGGCGCAUACAAAGAGAAGCGACCUCGCGAGAGCAAGCGGACCUCAUAAAGUGCGUCGUAGUCCGGAUUGGAGUCUGCAACUCGACUCCAUGAAGUCGGAAUCGCUAGUAAUCGUAGAUCAGAAUGCUACGGUGAAUACGUUCCCGGGCCUUGUACACACCGCCCGUCACACCAUGGGAGUGGGUUGCAAAAGAAGUAGGUAGCUUAACCUUCGGGAGGGCGCUACCAC